rnacentral:tmRNA from 1 species
GGGGGCGUUUAGGAUUCGACAGGUAUAGGUCGAGCUUAAACUGCGUUUGGUAGGUUGCGACUACCAUAAAACGCUCAGUUAAAAUAUAACUGCAAAAAAUAACACACAAUCUUACGCAUUAGCUGCCUAAUCGCAGUGGCGUAAAUCCGCCUAGCAUCGUCCAUGUGUUAGAUCCGGGUUUUAUAUGAAGUGGACUUACGCUUGGACCUUUCACCUAGAGGAAAAAGAAGAGAUUAAUUAGGUUAGUUCAAGAUGUUAGCCGGGUCGGGCGGCGCGGUCUUGGAUGAAAGUUAAAUAGUCUGACUAUGAACGUAGACGUUUAAGUGGCGAUAUGCUUGGACGCGGGUUCGAUUCCCGCCGCUUCCAUAU